rnacentral:rRNA from 1 species
ACUCCUACGGGAGGCAGCAGUGGGGAAUAUUGCACAAUGGGGGAAACCCUGAUGCAGCCAUGCCGCGUGUGUGAAGAAGGCCUUCGGGUUGUAAAGCACUUUCAGUAGGGAGGAAGGUAGUGUAGUUAACACCUGCAUUAUUUGACGUUACCUACAGAAGAAGCACCGGCUAACUCCGUGCCAGCAGCCGCGGUAAUACGGAGGGUGCGAGCGUUAAUCGGAAUUACUGGGCGUAAAGCGCAUGCAGGCGGUUUGCUAAGACCGAUGUGAAAUCCCCGGGCUCAACCUGGGAACUGCAUUGGUGACUGGCAGGCUAGAGUAUGGCAGAGGGGGGUGAGAAUCCACGUGUAGCAGUGAAAUGCGUAGAGAUGUGGAGGAAUACCGAUGGCGAAGGCAGCCCCUGGCCAGUCACUGACGCUCAUGCACGAAAGCGUGGGGAGCAAACAGGAUUAGAUACCCUGGUAGACAU